AAGACUUUUUUUCUCCAAAGAUAUUGUCCUUUUUUCUUAAACAGGUCUUACUUACUUCUACAAAGAUUGGCUAAUUAAGGAUGUUCAUACCCAGUGGAACCAAUCAACUGUUCCUACUGAUGAGGAACUGUAUCCAAAAAGAGAAGAAGGACAAAAAGUUUGGAACAUUUCAUCCCUAA
rnacentral:lncRNA from 1 species